rnacentral:rRNA from 1 species
AUACAUGCAAGUUGAGCGCUGAAGGUUGGUACUUGUACCGACUGGAUGAGCAGCGAACGGGUGAGUAACGCGUGGGGAAUCUGCCUUUGAGCGGGGGACAACAUUUGGAAACGAAUGCUAAUACCGCAUAAAAACUUUAAACACAAGUUUUAAGUUUGAAAGAUGCAAUUGCAUCACUCAAAGAUGAUCCCGCGUUGUAUUAGCUAGUUGGUGAGGUAAAGGCUCACCAAGGCGAUGAUACAUAGCCGACCUGAGAGGGUGAUCGGCCACAUUGGGACUGAGACACGGCCCAAACUCCUACGGGAGGCAGCAGUAGGGAAUCUUCGGCAAUGGACGAAAGUCUGACCGAGCAACGCCGCGUGAGUGAAGAAGGUUUUCGGAUCGUAAAACUCUGUUGGUAGAGAAGAACGUUGGUGAGAGUGGAAAGCUCAUCAAGUGACGGUAACUACCCAGAAAGGGACGGCUAACUACGUGCCAGCAGCCGCGGUAAUACGUAGGUCCCGAGCGUUGUCCGGAUUUAUUGGGCGUAAAGCGAGCGCAGGUGGUUUAUUAAGUCUGGUGUAAAAGGCAGUGGCUCAACCAUUGUAUGCAUUGGAAACUGGUAGACUUGAGUGCAGGAGAGGAGAGUGGAAUUCCAUGUGUAGCGGUGAAAUGCGUAGAUAUAUGGAGGAACACCGGUGGCGAAAGCGGCUCUCUGGCCUGUAACUGACACUGAGGCUCGAAAGCGUGGGGAGCAAACAGGAUUAGAUACCCUGGUAGUCCACGCCGUAAACGAUGAGUGCUAGAUGUAGGGAGCUAUAAGUUCUCUGUAUCGCAGCUAACGCAAUAAGCACUCCGC